ensembl:piRNA 21ur-8614 ncRNA
UUUCCGUUCAAAUUCCAGCUU